rnacentral:rRNA from 1 species
GCGUUGUUCGGAAUCACUGGGCGUAAAGGGCGUGUAGGCGGUCCGCUAAGUCUGAUGUGGAAGCCCGGGGCUCACCCCCGGAAGUGCAUUGGAAACUGGCGGACUCGAGUCCCGGAGAGGAGAGUGGAAUUCCUGGUGUAGCGGUGAAAUGCGUAGAUAUCGUAAGGAAGACCAGUGGCGAAGGCGGGUCUCUGGACAGUUCCUGACGCUGAGGCACGAAGGCCAGGGGAGCAAACGGG